rnacentral:rRNA from 1 species
CGCCGCGUGAAGGAAGAAGGCUUUCGGGUUGUAAACUUCUUUGACAGAGGAAGAAACAAAUGACGGUACUCUGAAAACAAGCCACGGCUAACUACGUGCCAGCAGCCGCGGUAAUACGUAGGUGGCAAGCGUUAUCCGGAUUUACUGGGUGUAAAGGGCGUGUAGGCGGGACUGCAAGUCAGGUGUGAAAUUUCGGGGCUCAACCCUGAAACUGCACUUGAAACUGUGGUUCUUGAGUGAUGGAGAGGCAGGCGGAAUUCCUAGUGUAGCGGUGAAAUGCGUAGAUAUUAGGAGGAACACCAGUGGCGAAGGCGGCCUGCUGGACAUUAACUGACGCUGAGGCGCGAAAGCGUGGGGAGCAAACAGGAUUAGAUACCCUGGUAGUCCACGCUGUAAACGAUGAAUACUAGGUGUGGGGGGUCUGACCCCUUCCGUGCCGGAGUUAACACAAUAAGUAUUCCACCUGGGGAGUACGUUCGCAAGAAUGAAACUCAAAGGAAUUGACGGGGGCCCGCACAAGCAGUGGAUUAUGUGGUUUAAUUCGAAGCAACGCGAAGAACCUUACCAGGGCUUGACAUGGAGAUGACCGCUAUAGAGAUAUGGCUUCCCUUCGGGGCAUCUCACACAGGUGGUGCAUGGUUGUCGUCAGCUCGUGUCGUGAGAUGUUGGGUUAAGUCCCGCAACGAGCGCAACCC